rnacentral:rRNA from 1 species
AGUGAACGCUGGCGGUAGGCCUAACACAUGCAAGUCGAACGGCAGCACACGAGAGCUUGCUCUCUGGGUGGCGAGUGGCGGACGGGUGAGGAAUGCAUCGGAAUCUACUCUGUCGUGGGGGAUAACGUAGGGAAACUUACGCUAAUACCGCAUACGACCUACGGAUGAAAGCAGGGGAUCUUCGGACCUUGCGCGAUUGAAUGAGCCGAUGUCGGAUUAGCUAGUUGGCGGGGUAAAGGCCCACCAAGGCGACGAUCCGUAGCUGGUCUGAGAGGAGGAUAAGCAACACUGGAACUGAGAAACGCUCCAGACGCCUACGGGAGGCAGCAGGGGGGAAUAUUGGACAAGGGGCGCAAGCCUGAUCCAGCUGUACCGCGGGGGUGAAGAAGGCCUUCGGGUUGUAAAGCCCUUUUGUUGGGAAAGAAAUCCAGCUGGCUAAUACCCGGUUGGGAUGACGGUACCCAAAGAAUAAGCACCGGCUAACUUCGUGCCAGCCGCCGCCGUAA